rnacentral:rRNA from 1 species
UACAGAGGUCUCAACCGUUGUUCGGAUUCAUUGGGCGUAAAGGGUGCGUAGGCGGUCGUGUAAGUCGGAUGUGAAAUCUCAGGGCUCAACCCUGAAACUGCAUUCGAUACUGCAUGGCUAGGGUACUGGAGAGGAGACUGGAAUUUACGGUGUAGCAGUGAAAUGCGUAGAUAUCGUAAGGAAGACCAGUGGCGAAGGCGGGUCUCUGGACAGUUCCUGACGCUGAGGCACGAAGGUCAGGGGAGCAAACGGG